rnacentral:lncRNA from 1 species
ACCCCGGAGAAAUAUCAAACUCGAAUGCCAUCUCUGGCAUAUAUAAUUGUUCAAGGAAUGCCAUUGGAACUUCAGAUAAUUGUGUACAGACUGAGUGCUACUUGCCCGGUUAUGACUUAACAAAGAUUGACAAUGGUGUGAGUGUCUGGACAUUAACAGAGCUGGACUGUCAAUGCUUCUGUACCAAAAUCAGGAGAAAUACUUCAUUAAAUUUAACACACAAAAAAAGAGUGAAGGCAGUAAACAAUUACCAUUAUUAGUUACCUUCAUAUUGUUAUUUAUCUGUUUAAUCAUAAUGACAAUUCAGAUCUAAACUUUUUCCGACACUUUUUCUCCAUUUUAAAUAUUUCUUUUAUCCUUUCAUUUUCUAUCUUUUCCUUUAAUCUCUUCAUUAUCUGUUUUAACAAUGAUUUAUCCUUUAAAAAAAUGAAGUUUUGUAUUGUCACCAAGUGCUGAAUUGUAUGAUUGGUAUACGGUCGAUGGUAAUUGCUGGUGCUUUGAUUCUUCUAAACAAAUUGUUCUGGAGUUAAAUACUGUUCUGCUGAAAAUAAAGUAGAAGUUUCGGGAAUCAAUACUUACGAACUGUGUGGAUGCCAAUGCAGUAAAAUCAGGACCUGUACAGAUUUUUUCUGGAUUCAAAAUCAAACAUGUUUUCUGGUAGAACAACACUCUACUAUUACUGUUGAACGCCAGGUGGCUACAUACCCUUGUCCAGAAACCACAACUACAACUACAACUACAACUACAACUACAACUACAACUACAACCACAACCACAACUUCAACUACAAAUACAACUACAACUACAACCACAACUUUAAAUACAACCCGCACUUCAACUACAACCUCUACCAAAACCACAACUACAACUACA